rfam:Glycine soja cultivar W05 scaffold975_113, whole genome shotgun sequence.
AGUAUGUGGGGAUGUUGGAACAGUUCAAUCAAAUCAAAUUUCCUAAUGAUUGGGUGAUGGUUGGAUUCUUUGAUAUGAUUGAGCCGUGCCAAUAUCAAUUCCUACUUA